rnacentral:rRNA from 1 species
UACGGAGGGUGCGAGCGUUGUCCGGAAUCACUGGGCGUAAAGGGCGCGUAGGUGGCUCGUGAAGCGUGCGGUGAAAGUCCGAGGCUCAACCUCGGAUCGGCCGUGCGGACUCGCGGGCUCGAGCGUUGUAGAGGCGGGUGGAAUUCCGGGUGUAGCGGUGGAAUGCGUAGAGAUCCGGAAGAACACCAGUGGCGAAGGCGGCCCGCUGGGCAGUGGCUGACGCUGAGGCGCGACAGCGUGGGGAGCAAACAGG